rnacentral:rRNA from 1 species
CAGUCGAGCGAGCGGUUUCAUGAAGUUUUCGGAUGGAAUUGAAAUUGACUUAGCGGCGGACGGGUGAGUAACGCGUGGGUAACCUGCCUUACACUGGGGGAUAACAGUUAGAAAUGACUGCUAAUACCGCAUAAGCGCACAGGGCCGCAUGGUCUGGUGUGAAAAACUCCGGUGGUGUAAGAUGGACCCGCGUCUGAUUAGGUAGUUGGUGGGGUAACGGCCCACCAAGCCGACGAUCAGUAGCCGACCUGAGAGGGUGACCGGCCACAUUGGGACUGAGACACGGCCCAAACUCCUACGGGAGGCAGCAGUGGGGAAUAUUGGACAAUGGGCGAAAGCCUGAUCCAGCGACGCCGCGUGAGUGAAGAAGUAUUUCGGUAUGUAAAGCUCUAUCAGCAGGGAAGAAAAUGACGGUACCUGACUAAGAAGCCCCGGCUAACUACGUGCCAGCAGCCGCGGUAAUACGUAGGGGGCAAGCGUUAUCCGGAUUUACUGGGUGUA